UACGGGAGGGGCAAGCGUUGUUCGGAAUUACUGGGCGUAAAGGGCUCGUAGGCGGCCAACUAAGUCGGACGUGAAAUCCCUCGGCUUAACCGGGGAACUGCGUCCGAUACUGGAUGGCUUGAGUUCGGGAGAGGGAUGCGGAAUUCCAGGUGUAGCGGUGAAAUGCGUAGAUAUCUGGAGGAACACCGGUGGCGAAGGCGGCAUCCUGGACCGACACUGACGCUGAGGAGCGAAAGCCAGGGGAGCAAACGGG
rnacentral:rRNA from 1 species